CUCUGUUGACCAGGCUGGAGUGCAGUGGCGCCAUCUCAGUUCACUGCAUCCUCUGCCUCCUGGGUUCAAGCGAUUCUCCUGUCUCAGCCUCCUGAGUAGCUGGGAUUACAGGCGUGUAAUCACACCUGGCUAAUUUUUGUAUUUUUAGUAGAGACGGGAUUUCGCCAUGUUGGUCAGGCUGGCAUCGAACUCCUGAUCUCAGGUGAUCCACCUACCUUGGCCUCCCGAAGUGCUGGGAUUAUGGAUGUGAGCCACCGCGCCUGCCACACCACUCCCUUCUUAUCUGUGGUUUCAUUUUCUGCAGUUUCAGUUACCCACGCUCAACCUCGGCCCCCAAAUAGGUAAGGACGGUACAAUAAGAUAAAUUAAACUUUAUCAUAGGUGCGUAUACACAGGAAAAAUAUAUAGUGUCUAUAGGGUUCCUUACCAUCUGUGGUCUCAGGCAUCUACUGGGGGUCUUGGAAUUUGUUUUCUGCAGACAAAUGGGGGCUAUUGUAUUAGAGAGGUCAUUAUCUGCUUUGCAAAAUGGUUUACAGUGAAGGUCACCAAAAUAGAGGUUGCUACUGCAGUAUGUACCUGGCUUUGGUUUACAGAAAUUCAAAUGCAUAAACUUUGUUAGCACCAGAGGCAGCCCCAUUCUUGGGUUUUAGCAGCCCACCAGCUAAGUGCCUUUAGCCUCGGAUGAGCUAGAUGCAGUUUCCCUUUGAAGGGCUCUACCUGGGGACUGGCCACUCAUUUCUACCUAAUUCUUAUGACCCACCAUCUAUUUGGACUUUGAUCCAAGGAGAAAUCUGUUUUCAAAAUCUCUGGCAGACACAGCAAUGAUGCCAAAUCCAAUCUCUAUGCUUAAAGACAGUGUUCCAUCAUAUGAAACCCAACCUUGGUCACUCCACAGGAGCAUGGCAGAAGGUUUCUGCAAAAUUACUUAAUAGCUAAAUACAAAAUUCUGAAGAAGAAACCCAAGCUAUUUUAUCUCUAGGAAAAAAAGAGAUGAACCCCAUCAAGUAAGGGACAGAAAAGUUACCUGCAAGGAAAGUAAGAGCUCAGAUGCAUGAAUAUAUGUGGGUAAGGAGAUGCAGGUUGACCCUCAGAGACAUGUCCAGCCAGAACACCUGCCUUCGUUCUCUGGCAGGUGAAGGUCAAGGUGGGGGCUGGGUCUGUUUAAAAAGAGGGCCAUGCUCAAGACAGCAUUAGACCCAUGGAGGGGCUGUGCCUUCCUUGACAUGGGCACGCUUUUCAACAUCAGCUUUCUUAAAUGUGUGCUGCCUCUUACCCCAAGUCUGAUUCCUUGCAGAAUAUGACAUUUGUGAGUCACGGUAAGGUGGCUUUUUCAUGUUCUGUGGCUUCUGUGAUAAAUGGCCAAAAAAUGGAGUGGCUUUGAAUAACAGACAUCUAUUCUCUUUCAGUCCGGGAGGCCAGAAGUGUGAAGUCAAGGUGUUGGCCUGGCCGUGCUCCCUCCGGAGUCUCCAGGGGAGGGUCCUUCCUGCCUCUUCCAGCUCCUGGUGGCUCCUGCAGUCCUUGGCUCACAGCUGCAUCUCCCCAGUCUUGGCCUCCAUCUUCACAUAAUCAUAUUCUCUGAGUUUUCUCCUCUCUUUUGUGUUUUUCUCCUCUGUGUAUCUCACAAACACACUUGUCAUUGGAUUUAGGGCCCGCCUGGCUAAUCCAGGAUGAUCCCCUUUGGAGAUCCUUAACCUUACUACAUCUUCAAAAAGCCCCUUUUCAAAAAAGGUCACAUUCACAGUUUCCAGAUAUAAUUUUAUGGACAUGUCUUUCUGGAGGCCACCAUUCUACCCACUACAGAUGAUGACUGUUAGGGGCUGAAUGGUGCUCCUCAAAAUUCAUAUGUUGAAAUCCCCACUCCCAGUACCUCGGAAUGUGGCUCUAUUUGGAGAUAAGGUUUUUAAAGGAUUAAUUAAGUUAAAAUGAGGCUAUAAAGGUGGAACCUUAGCUAAUAUGACUGGCAUCUUUGUUUAAACAGGGAGAGACACUGGGGGGUGUGUGUGCACAGAAAAAUAGCAGGUGAAGACACAGUGAGAGGGCAGCCUUCUACAAGGCAAGGAGAGAGGCCUCGGGAAACUAGCCCUGCUAGCACCCUGACCUUGGACGUCCAGCCUCCAGAACUGUGAGACAAUAAAGUCCUGUUGCCAGGCUUCUGAGGUCCUGGAGACCCACAGCUGGGCUGGGAGCAGGAUGGCUGCUGUGAAGGUGGUAGCUCCAGAAGAAGUGGUGGCAGUGGUCACAGCCCUGGGAGAGAUGAAGGGGUCCACAUGGGCCAGCACUGAGACCUGUCAUGGAGGCCAACAGGAAUCCCCAUCCCUGGAGCCGUCUGCGACUUGCAGGCUGAGUUCUUCCCCUGCGUGGCCUGAAGUGGCCCAGCUGUGAGAAGCCAUUGUGAGGAAUGAUGUUUGUUUAAUAGAGAGUGCGCCAGCAUCGAACUGUCUGCAGGCUGAACCCCUAGGGAGGAGGAGAGGAAAGAAAGCCCGAUGGCUUCAGGCUCAGGUCUUUAAAACUUGUUCUGGGAGAGAACACAUUUGCAGAGCCCCACACUGGGCUCCAGGCUCCUAGAAGCAGCGGGAGCCUGCGUGGGGGCUUUGCAGUUCUUCAUGGAUCGCCGGUUUCAUCUUCUGGGGCCCACAACGCUGACUUGUCUGCAGCUUGCCUGGUGCCGACGGCCUCCAUCCGGCACCCCCUGGACCUGCCUCCGAGUCUGGGUCUGGGGAGCAGAAACAGCAUGAUCUGGGGGACAGGGAUGGUCCCUAGGGGUUGUUAGGCUCCUCUGCCCUCCACCCCACCCACGUAGGCACCAGAUACGAAUGCAAAUGGAGUCACCCCUGGGCCAGCUGUCCUGAUCCCCCUGGGCCCCUGGGGUUUCCCUCCUGACUCUGCUCCCUGGCGGUCUGGGCUGUCUACGUAGUCCUGCCUGGGAGUCCCAGGCAGGCUGGUGGAGGAGAUGGCGUCAGGGCUGGGCUUGGGAGGAUAGGAGGAAGUUUCCAGGAGUGGAGGGAAGGGGAGGGCAUUUCUGAUGCUAGAAGGGGGUCCCAAGGCCUGGAGUUGCCUGGGGCCUGAGGGUGGCACUGGGAAGUCAACAGCGGGCUUUUAAAAAUAUUUCUUAUUGUGGUAAAAUACGCAUAAUCAUGAAA